GCGCAAGUGGCGUAAUUGGUAGCCGCACCAGACUUAGGAUCUGGCGCCGAAAGGCGUGGGGGUUCGAGUCCCUCCUUGCGCACCU
rnacentral:tRNA from 1 species